rnacentral:rRNA from 1 species
CCCUACGGGGGAGCCGGGAGCUAUCCUGCAGGUAUCGCUUUCUGCACUGGGAGCUGGAGUUCCCUGUGGUGUUCUUUGACGAGUACGGGCGGCGCAACCCGCAGGGAGGUUUUGACGCCGUGCUUGGCAAUCCGCCCUGGGAGCGCAUGAAGCUACAGGAGAAUGAGUUCUUUGCCCUGCGGGAGUCGGCUAUCGCCCUGGCCCCGACGGCGGCCCGCCGUAAGGCCCUUAUCGCCGCACUACCUCAAACCGCCCCGGAGCUAUGGGCGGAGUAUCAGCAAGCCAAAGCGCAGGCGGACCUGGAAAUGGCCUGGACCCGCAAUUCUGGUCAGUACCCCUUCAUGGGCAGGGGCGAUACGAACCUCUAUGCCGUGAUGACGGAGCGGGGGCGGUCGCUGCUGGCCCCCCACGGGCGGGAGAGC